UCAUCCACAGGCUGAUGGGGGACAAAGGAACAAUGGUUGAAGCUUGAGUCUACCUGACAAUUGGAGUUUGUCAGCAUAAGAAGUAAUUGAGUCACAAGUACACUGAAGGAAGGGCUCCCUCGAGCUGCGGGGUGAAGAGAGAAAUCACCAGGACUCCAAAAAACCCUAGAAUUGACUAAUCAUUUCUCCUGCUACUUCCCCAACACAGACUAUGCACCCGACUGC
rnacentral:lncRNA from 1 species